rnacentral:rRNA from 1 species
UACGGAGGGGGCUAGCGUUGUUCGGAAUUACUGGGCGUAAAGCGCACGUAGGCGGUUUUGUCAGUCAGAGGUGAAAGCCCCGGGCUCAACUCGGGAGUUGCAUUUGAUACGGCAUGACUAGAGUCCGGGAGAGGGGUGUGGAAUUCCGAGUGUAGAGGUGAAAUUCGUAGAUAUUCGGAAGAACACCAGUGGCGAAGGCGGCACCCUGGACUGGUAUUGACGCUGAGGUGCGAAAGCGUGGGGAGCAAACAGG